rnacentral:rRNA from 1 species
UACGAAGGGUGCGAGCGUUGUUCGGAAUUAUUGGGCGUAAAGGGUUCGUAGGCGGGAAGUUAAGUUGGAUGUGAAAUCCCCAAGCUCAACUUGGGACGUGCAUUCAAAACUAUUUUUCUUGAAUAUUGGAGAGGGAAGUGGAAUUGCUGGUGUAGGAGUGACAUCCGUAGAGAUCAGCAGGAACACCGGAGGCGAAAGCGACUUCCUGGCCAGAUAUUGACGCUGAGGAACGAAAGCGUGGGGAGCAAACAGG